AACGCACAUUGCGCCCGCCGGUAUCCCGGCGGGCAUACCUGUUCGAGCGUCAUUUCAACCCUCAGGCCACGCCUGGUGUUGGGGCCCUGCGCGGCAGGCCCCUAAAGACAGCGGCGGGUGCGUCCUCUAACCGAACGUAGUAGUACAUCUCGUUCCGGCGCGGAGGCGUACGCCAGCCGGUAAACUCGCAGACUCAAGUGGUUGACCUCGGAUCAGGUAGGAAUACCCGCUGAACUUAA
rnacentral:misc_RNA from 1 species